AGAGUUUGAUCAUGGCUCAGAUUGAACGCUGGCGGCAGGCCUAACACAUGCAAGUCGAGCGGUAACAUUUCAAAAGCUUGCUUUUGAAGAUGACGAGCGGCGGACGGGUGAGUAAUGCCUGGGAAUUUGCCCAUUUGUGGGGGAUAACAGUUGGAAACGACUGCUAAUACCGCAUACGCCCUACGGGGGAAAGCAGGGGACCUUCGGGCCUUGCGCUGAUGGAUAAGCCCAGGUGGGAUUAGCUAGUAGGUGAGGUAAAGGCUCACCUAGGCGACGAUCCCUAGCUGGUCUGAGAGGAUGAUCAGCCACACUGGGACUGAGACACGGCCCAGACUCCUACGGGAGGCAGCAGUGGGGAAUAUUGCACAAUGGGGGAAACCCUGAUGCAGCCAUGCCGCGUGUGUGAAGAAGGCCUUCGGGUUGUAAAGCACUUUCAGCGAGGAGGAAAGGGUGUAAGUUAAUACCUUACAUCUGUGACGUUACUCGCAGAAGAAGCACCGGCUAACUCCGUGCCAGCAGCCGCGGUAAUACGGAGGGUGCGAGCGUUAAUCGGAAUUACUGGGCGUAAAGCGUGCGCAGGCGGUUUGUUAAGCGAGAUGUGAAAGCCCCGGGCUCAACCUGGGAACCGCAUUUCGAACUGGCAAACUAGAGUCUUGUAGAGGGGGGUAGAAUUCCAGGUGUAGCGGUGAAAUGCGUAGAGAUCUGGAGGAAUACCGGUGGCGAAGGCGGCCCCCUGGACAAAGACUGACGCUCAGGCACGAAAGCGUGGGGAGCAAACAGGAUUAGAUACCCUGGUAGUCCACGCCGUAAACGAUGUCUACUCGGAGUUUGGUGUCUUGAACACUGGGCUCUCAAGCUAACGCAUUAAGUAGACCGCCUGGGGAGUACGNUAGGAAAAGAAAUCAACCGAGAUUCCCCAAGUAGCGGCGAGCGAACGGGGAUUAGCCCUUAAGUCUUUGGGGUGUUAGUGGAAUGUGUUGGAAAGCACAGCGGCACAGGGUGAUAGCCCCGUACAUGUAAACUAACCAGAGAUGAAAACGAGUAAGGCGGCACACGUGAUAUGUUGUCUGAAUAUGGGGGGACCAUCCUCCAAGGCUAAAUACUCCUGACUGACCGAUAGUGAACNUGUUCUUUAACAAUUUGGAAAGCUGAUAGUAGACAUCAAAACCAACUCUUCGGAGUGGAUUUGAUGCAUACAAAUUGAGUUCUCAAACACUUCAAUCAAGUGUUUUGGAAAUUCUUCAAGGCGAGUCCACUUCCUUAACCCGGAAGUGAGACAAGUAAACCUAAGCUGGUUGCAAUACAGUCCGAUGAAAACUCAUCCGGGUUGUAUGGUUAAGCGACCAAGCGUAUACGGUGGAUGCCUUGGCAGUCAGAGGCGAUGAAGGACGUAGUAACUUGCGAAAAGCGUUGGUGAGCUAGUAACAAGCAUUNUGUGGGGAGCAAACAGGAUUAGAUACCCU
rnacentral:rRNA from 1 species